rnacentral:lncRNA from 1 species
CAUGUAAGGGUAUUUAAAAACCUGGUGCCUUAAAAUCAUAUGAUUUGGGAGUCAUCGGCUUAAAGCCUACUACAGGGGUCAUCUAGAAAGUUUAAUGGAGAGAAUAAAUAUAUAAAAAAAUACUCGUGAAAAACAAAAAAAGCAAGUGCAUGAAAAGAGCAAAAGCACUAAAUAUCUUGAUUAAGCCCUAACACUUAUUUGAGAGAAUUCGACUUUUCAUACAAGAUAAUUAGCUAGUUAAGUCUUGGAGGUCGAAGCAAUCAAAUAAUUGAAGAAUUCUUUGUUUACUGAAGUGUUGACUUGCAACUAGUAUCGUCCAGCUAAACUCGAGAGGGUGAGGAUUGUAAUGAAAUUUUCAGCCUUAGAUCACACACUAGAAAAGAGUGAAAAAUAAUAAGUUUGGGGUUGUGUGAAUCUUAUGAGUGAUGAAAGGACAUAUAUGACCAUUAAGGGUCCGGAAUUGAAACAACUUGUGCAGUUAUGGUUGAUUACUCGAUUCUUCACACACAUGUCAAUUUUUGUACUGGAAGAGUGGAUAUUAGUUUAGUACUGUGACUUUGAAGCAUUUUAUAGAGUAAACACUAAAUCUUGAACCUGAGGUGAGAAGCUAGAUUGUCCAACCGAAUAUUUUUGCAUACUUGUGUGUUAGUUAUUAUUUACUAAUAAUUUUGUUUGAGCACAAAUAAAUAUUUAAGUUUGAGGGUAUUUGAUAAGUGUAUUUUAUACACUUAUUCGGUACAUUAAAAUAGCGAUAUUUGAUGGUCCUUUUAACAAAUUAUAUCCUAAAUUUUUGUCUUUUAUGUUUAAUAGGUGAAAUUUUAUGAAGGAAAAGGAAUUGAAGGAAUGAAGGCAAAAAGAGCAAAAUUCAGAAGUUGGGGACCAAGUUGUAAAAGUUCAAUAGUUGAUUCUGACCAUGAAUCGAAGAUUGAAGAAUUUGGAGAUCAAAUUCCAUAUUUUGGAAAGUGAAAGCCUUGAAUUGAAUCAAAGAAGAAAUGUGUUGCAAGAAUAAAAGGGCUCAAGGAUUGAAUUGCAUUAUUUUGGAAGAUGGAGGACUUGAAAAAUAAUUUAAGUAAUGAUGACUUAAAUUGGUGGUUGAUUGGAC